rnacentral:rRNA from 1 species
UAGGGAAUCUUCCGCAAUGGACGAAAGUCUGACGGAGCAACGCCGCGUGAGCGAUGAAGGCCUUCGGGUCGUAAAGCUCUGUUGUUAGGGAAGAACAAGUACCGGAGUAACUGCCGGUACCUUGACGGUACCUAACCAGAAAGCCACGGCUAACUACGUGCCAGCAGCCGCGGUAAUACGUAGGUGGCAAGCGUUGUCCGGAAUUAUUGGGCGUAAAGCGCGCGCAGGCGGUCCUUUAAGUCUGAUGUGAAAGCCCACGGCUCAACCGUGGAGGGUCAUUGGAAACUGGGGGACUUGAGUACAGAAGAGGAAAGCGGAAUUCCACGUGUAGCGGUGAAAUGCGUAGAGAUGUGGAGGAACACCAGUGGCGAAGGCGGCUUUCUGGUCUGUAACUGACGCUGGGGCGCGAAAGCGUGGGGAGCAAACAGGAUUAGAUACCCUGGUAGUCCACGCCGUAAACGAUGAGUGCUAAGUGUUAGAGGGUUUCCGCCCUUUAGUGCUGCAGCUAACGCU